rnacentral:tRNA from 1 species
UGCCGAAACCCGGGAUCGAACCGGGGAUUUUUAGAUAUUCAGUCUAACGCUCUCCUAACUGAGCUAUUUCGGC